UCGAGAAUCUUCGGCAAUGGGCGCAAGCCUGACCGAGCGACGCCGCGUGGAGGACGAAGGCCCUCGGGUUGUAAACUCCUGUCGAGGGGGAGGAAGCCGCAAGGUUGACCGAUCCCUGGAGGAAGCACGGGCUAAGUUCGUGCCAGCAGCCGCGGUAAGACGAACCGUGCGAACGUUAUUCGGAAUCACUGGGCUUAAAGCGCGUGUAGGCGGGCCGCCGCGUCGGCUGCUGAAAUCCCCCGGCUCAACCGGGGAAGGGGCACCGAUACGAGCGGCCUGGAGGGGGGUAGGGGGGUCUGGAACUUCCGGUGGAGCGGUGAAAUGCGUUGAGAUCGGAAGGAACGCCCGUGGCGAAAGCGAGGCCCUGGACCCUUACUGACGCUGAGACGCGAAAGCCAGGGGAGCGAACGGGAUUAGAUACCCCCGUAGUCC
rnacentral:rRNA from 1 species